GUGGAUUAGAUACCCUUGUAGUCCACGCCGUAAACGAUGAUAACUAGCUGUCCGGGUUCACAGAACUUGGGUGGCGCAGCUAACGCAUUAAGUUAUCCGCCUGGGGAGUACGGUCGCAAGAUUAAAACUCAAAGGAAUUGACGGGGGCCUGCACAAGCGGUGGAGCAUGUGGUUUAAUUCGAAGCAACGCGCAGAACCUUACCAGCGUUUGACAUCCUGAUCGCGGAUAGUGGAGACACUUUCCUUCAGUUCGGCUGGAUCAGUGACAGGUGCUGCAUGGCCGUCGUCAACU
rnacentral:rRNA from 1 species